UACAGAGGGGGCUAGCGUUGUUCGGAAUUACUGGGCGUAAAGGGCGCGUAGGCGGAUGUUUAAGUCAGCGGUGAAAGCCCAGGGCUCAACCUUGGAACUGCCAUUGAUACUGGACAUCUUGAGUACGGGAGAGGUGAGUGGAACUCCGAGUGUAGAGGUGAAAUUCGUAGAUAUUCGGAAGAACACCAGUGGCGAAGGCGACUCACUGGCCCGUUACUGACGCUGAGGCGCGAAAGCGUGGGGAGCAAACAGG
rnacentral:rRNA from 1 species